GGGGCGGAGGGCCCGGCGGGGCAGGGCGGCAGGUGCCGCGGGAGGAUGGCGGCUGGAGACCCGGAGCAGGCGAGAUACUGCGGGAGGCUCUCCUACCUGUGCCUCAAGCUGACCCUCAUCACCUACUCCACCACGUUCUGGGUGAUCGGAGCCCUCGUCCUCGCCGUUGGGAUUUAUGCAGAAAUUGAAAGACAGAAGUACAAAACUCUAGAAAGUGCCUUUCUAGCCCCAGCAAUUAUUUUAAUACUUCUGGGCAUUGUAAUGUUCCUGGUAUCCUUUGUGGGUGUACUGGCUUCUCUAAGAGACAAUUUAUGCCUUCUGCAAGCAUUCAUGUACAUCCUGGGCAUCUGCUUGCUGAUCGAGCUGACAGGUGGAGUGGUGGCCCUGAUCUUCAGGAACCAGACAAUCAAAUUUUUGAAUGAUAACAUCAGAAGAGGAAUUGAGAAUUACUACGAUGAUUUAGACUUCAAGAACAUCAUGGAUUCUGUUCAAAAGCAGUUUAAGUGCUGUGGUGGGGAAGAUUAUAGAGAUUGGUCCCAAAAUGUGUACCACAACUGUGAAGCUCCAGGACCACUGGCCUGUGGGGUGCCCUACACUUGCUGCAUCAGAAAUAAGAAACCAAAGCGGAACAGCCAUGCUUUGAGUCCUAGUUUGGGAGCAAGAAUCUGCAGCUGGAUGGAGCAGAACAACUCAGGAUUUUGCCUUCAGGAAAGGGAAAGCACCGAAAUAAAAACUUCUCCAGGGAAAAACAAGGAGUAUAUUCUCCCUGUGCUACACUGGCAGCUGGGGAGGGGUGGGAUUAGGCUGCUUGUAGCCCAAAAAGCCCAGGGCAAUAAAUGGAAAGGCAGGGAGAAGCCCCAGAUGGAAGUGUGGCUCAUCCAGGUGAGGGCUGGUGGCUCUCAGCGGGGAGAUGCUGUUGCUGUGCUCGAGGCAGGGUAACACCAGCACCGGGGCUGUGCACGGCUGCCUCAGGGAAAAAACCGACCACAAGAGGCAUCAAUCUUGUCUGUUUGACAAAUCCUUCCAAAUACAGGCUGGUUUCUGUCCUGGAAAGCUACAGAUAUGGUUUGUGAUUACUCAUUGGCUUUGUAGUCAUGGAAAACUCCUGCUAAUGUCGGUGCCUGGCUUCUGAUCCUCUGUAAAAACCUCCUGCUAACACCAGCCAGCUCCUACUGGGGAGGCUGUAAAGGAACUGUGUCUAAAUCAAAUUAUUUAUUAAAGACUUACACCAGUGUAGCAGGUAGAAAUCAGUCCCAAAUGCCUAUAAACCUCUCUUUGCAAUGCAUUUAUCUGUGUUUAUGCCACAGCGUCCUGUUAGCAAAUCCUGCGUUUCGAGUUAGACGAGGGGGCUGCGUUCCUUGUGGUCACGUAUUUUGGGAGUGACCACGUGUCAGCUGCUCAGGCUUCAGCAGUUUUGGGAACAUGAAAUCACUCACAGGCAGCACAACACGCUGGUGCCUGAUACUGCUGCUGAUUUCCAAGUGUAUUUGUGAGCUGUGGUUGGCAGAUGGGUGCCCCACACCGUUUCCCAACAGCCCUGUGGAGUAGUCCCAGCUUUUUCUUCUGGGAAUGUGCUGAACCUUGUUUGUCAGCCAGUUGUAUGUUCAAGGUGAGAGCCCAGCUUUCUGGGGGGCUUAAAAACUUCCCUUUUCCCUCCAUGUCUUUGGCUCUAUUUUCUAUUUCCUUUGAUGCCAGUGGGUUUUUACAUGGGAUGAUUUUUAAAUGAAGGAGAGUAUUUUUCCAGGCUGGCUUUUCCAGGCUUUCAAGGCAGAACCUUGGAACCCACAAAAGGCAUGAUAUGGCUACAGAAAAUGCAUUAAUAAUCUGUGGUGAGGGCAAGCCCUCUUUUUAUAACCUCUUUUAAAUAUAUAGGUUUUAUAUUCAGUAUAUAAUGGUAUUGUGUGAAUAUCAUAAUGAGCUUAAUCUUGUAAAAAACCUUCAAUUAUGGGAGUUAUUUGAAACUGAAGAUAUUUCUGAGCUUAAAUUUGUCAUUGUCUUGGCAUGAAGGCUGUGUUAACCCCUGGUUUUAUUAAUAAGGUGUGUUAAGUUAUUAAAGCUUUAAAAGGAAAUCCAGCUGUGGAAACAUCUGUGUCACACAGCUCUGUGCCACCCUGGUGUUUUGGAUAGAAAUGGUUCCAAUGUCUUGUGACACACUGACAAUACUCAUUCCUCUAAAAUCUUACUGAAUCUGACCCUGGGGUUGCUGGGAUAAACUGGUGUUGGACUGGGAAAUAAUUUACGUGAGCUGGGUGAACACGGAGUAAAAAGAAUAUUUUUGUGUUUCUCAUUUCCUGCUGCAAUUCAUAUUUAUUGUUUUCUUUUCAGACAGACAUUAUCAACACUAUGUGUGGAUACAAAACCAUUGACCAAGAGCGCCUGAGCGUUCAGAACGUUAUCUACGUCCGAGGGUGCACCAAUGCUGUGCUCAUUUGGUUUUUGGACAACUACAG